GCCAAAUAAAAAGAGACCAGGCAAGACUGUGGAGAUGUAGACCAUGGGCUGCGUUACUAACUGAGGAGUCAACAGUAGGUGAGAUGACCUCAAAACAGGUAACUAUCGGACAACAUAGAAAGUAACAAAACAGGUAACUAUCGGGACAACAUAGAAAGUAACAAAACAGGUAACUAUCGGGACAACAUAGAAAGUAACAAAACAGGUAACUAUCGGGACAACAUAGAAAGUAACAAAACAGGUAACUACCAGGAAAACAUAAAAAG